GACGGAGGAUGCAAGUGUUAUCCGGAAUCACUGGGCGUAAAGCGUCUGUAGGUGGUUCGAAAAGUCCACUGUUAAAAAUUGAGGCUUAACUUCAAAGAUGCCGUGGAAACUUUCAAACUAGAGUAUGGUAGGGGUAGAGGGAAUUUCCAGUGGAGCGGUGAAAUGCGUAGAGAUCGGGAGGAACACCAGUGGCGAAGGCGGCCUUCUGGACCAGCACUGACACUCAAGCACGAAAGCGUGGGGAGCAAACAGG
rnacentral:rRNA from 1 species